AUAUUUUCUAGAUUAAGUUACAUGUUAAAAGCAAUUCUAUUCAAAUUGAAGUAAAGUUUAAUAGGACAAUUACAAACAAGACCCUUUCAACUCAUCUUAAAAAAUUAAUUUUGCGUGAAAAUUAUAAAUUACUUCUUUUAUUAUUUAAAACGGGGCAUCAUAAAUCAAUUGCCAAUAAGAAAAAAACUUAAUUAACUCUUUUAAAAUGCCACCCAACAACAAUAAUUUUUUUUAGUACUUUGAAUAUGUAAACACGUGUUCAAUAAGGAAAAGCAGAAGGAAAAAAAAACUGUUGUAUAUUAUCAAAACUGCUCGACCUACAUAUUAAUUAGACAGGUAAUCACACCUGAAUUUGUAAUACCUAAUUUUUGUGUAUCAAAAUAGUAACUGGAUCCUUACUGACGACAUUUCCGCGUCGUGUCGUUGCAAUCCACACGUGACUUUCGUCUACCAAUAGCCAUUCACUCGCUCGACCCACGUGUUUAACCCAUGUAAGCGCAGUACAUACCACAAACCGUUUUAUCAGUUGCUGUUGAUAAAAACUUAACUCGUUUCUAUCUAUCACCUGUACAGGAAGUGACUUCCUGCUUUGGACUAUUGCCAAGUGGUGAUAUUCUCUUCAGGGGCAUAUUGCUGUACGUUCGUGUGUAGAAGCAG